CAGCAGAUCCAGGUCUGGCAUCACAGCAUUGGUAAUGGCCGGCGUACAUGGACCUGCAGAACAAAAAGAGGAGGAUUGAGUUCUCACUGUAUCUCCUGGAUUACCAAGUUUACCAAGAGCAGGAAGCCAUGUGCUGGGGAGCUUUGCACCCUUCAUGCAUUCUACACCCUCCAGGGCUUUCACUAGACACACAUGAUCUUUUUUGUUGUAGUAGUGCUUGCAGGUUCACGUAUGUGUGUGUGCAUGCAUGCACAUGUAGAGCUAAUCUCUAUCCUGUGGUUUUACCAUCUAGCCAUGGCAAGUGAGUGAGUGUAAUACAGCCAGAUUAAUCAAUGAGGAUAAGGGUGUCAGCAGAAAUACUGAUGGUGCUAAUGUCCUCGCAACAGUGGUGGCAGAUGCAGUAGGAACUCCACCUGAAGGAGAGCACCAGCCCCUGGCACUUAGUGGGGAUAUCAAAAUGGCAGUUGCCCAAAUAGUCUCUGCCAUAACAACAGCAGCUGGGUUGCAUCUGGGUGCAGGGACACUGUGCUACUGCUGCAGCAGCAAGAACCAGGAUGGACAGAGCAUACUUGCUCUAGCACUACCAACUAGGGACUCUAAAUCCCCAGAAUAGGUAAUACCCCUGUUCUAUGCUCUGCACUUGGCACCUCCUUCCUUCCAGUGCUCAGCAGCACUUCCUUGCCUCCCCAGCCCCCCAUAGCCAUUCUUCAGCAUAGCUUUGCUUAAGGCAUAAACCCUACUAGUUAGGCCUCUAAGCAGAAGCAGGGAGCUGUGGAAGGCUGUCCUAAUGUUGUAUCUGUCUGCUCUUUUCCCAGCAUUUCCUCCCUUUGCCCCAAGAGCCCACUCCGUCUGUGGGGUUUGUCCCGUUAAAAUGAGCAUUGCUGUUAGGCCACCCAUGACUCACAUCUACCAGCUGGGCAGAUGUUGCCUGCUAAACCAGUCCCACUGCUGAGCCAGUUGCUUUCUGUUGCACAUAUCUAACUCCCCUUGGUGUGCUCAUGGAGCUACACAGAGCUAAACAUAGUGUCCCUAGAGGAGCCAUGCCAGAGACACAGAGGGACACCAGCCCCCCUCAGCUCUAUGAUGUGAGGAGAAAAGGAAGAGAGCUAGCGACCUGUUUGUAGGUAAGGAGUGGUGUCUGGUGGUAUUUGUCUCCCUGACAGGAGGCGUAUCUGCAGGGGAGUGUGGAAAGCAGCCCUUGUGCAGGAUUGGUUGUACCUGUGUGAAGCAGACAUGAGGCCUUAUGAGGUGGCAGAGGCACUGGGAGCUAGAGAUCAGUCUGCAACAGGCUUGGAUUAUGGCAAUCAGACCAGACUGUGCAAGACAGGGACUAAUAGCAGCAAGAUGAGAUGUUUACCUGGAGGAAAGAGCUGUGACCCUCGGAUCUGAAGACAGACCAGAGCCAUGGUGUGGAGAUGAGGAGGAGUGCAGCCUGACAAUCACCACAGCCCUGUCCCCUGCCUGGGACACAUCACCUGUAGCUUCUUCACCUCCACCAGUGCUCCCCUGGGGGGAACACCCACCAGACACACCUCACCCAGCCACAGACCUAGAAGGGCAGUACCAGGGCAUAGGGUGGCAUAGCCCACUACCCCAGCCAACACAAGAGCUCAGAGGCAAGGGGACCACACAACCUAUGCCACACAAGAAGCACGGUGGCCUGUGCAUGUUGCAGUGGGUGGGGGUGUCUGUAAGGGGCUGGGAACACUUUGCUGCUUGCAGUGCUGGUUCAGUGCAUAUUUGUGGGCUGAGCAAGUCCCCAUGUUCAUGAGCUUCUCAUUCCAGGCUAGGCUGUAGUCCAUAUAAAGUCCUGAGCUGGAUCUUGGCAGGCAAUGCAAGCAUGCAUGUAGCUUGGCCUAGGUAUGCUCUGCCCCUGAGCAUUAGACAAUAGUCCUGCCCUGGCAAAGGAAGCAAUCUCUUUACUGAGGUAUCUGAACAGCUGUGUGACCCCUGUGAUACCAACAGCACGCAAUGGGCCCACGAGCCUCAGAUACUAAUCCUGGUCUGAUAUGAUGGAGCAGAGCUCAGUACAGGCCACCCUCACAGGUUUUAGAUCCUCAGAGUGGUGGGCUAUGGCUUAGCCUACAAAAUAAAAGCUUUGCUUAUACCGCUAGAGCAGCAUGGGACAUAUGGCCUGGAAAGUGCUUUCCCCAGUGUGCAGUAUGUUAUGCCUGCAAAAGCACUUGAACUGGAAUAAGUACAUCUGUACCCAGACUUUUGCCAGCACAGAAAAGUCACCAAAAGGACUUAAUUCACCCUGUAACUGCCACUGCAACACUGACAAGAGGUUCCAGUGCUGACCUGGCCACACAGCAGGAUAGCUUGGAACAAGCUUAUCAAAGAAGGCCCCCAACAGAUGCCUGACUGGCUACUGCUGCAGACAGAAGGACAGUACUAUCAGCUUAAUGUCCUGAAGCAGCAAAGUGAGGUCAGGGAUGGAGAAGGGAGACGCUGCCUGAAUUAUGGUGAGUGGUCUCUAGUUGGAGAAGCUCAGAGGGUUACUGCUGCAAAAAACUGAAGCUGCUACAAGCCUUUUGUCACUGUCCUGUCUGAUGGUAGUUGUGCCUUCUCUAGUUGUUUGUGCCAAAAGACGAUCUCAUUGACAUAUCAAGAAAGAGGCCAAUGCAAGAGACAUUCCCUCCAGAAAGGCCUGAGCGAUGAGGUCUAGGCACUAGAAAAAGCAACUGUUCCAGAAAUGCCAUGAGGUGUUUUUAUCUGGGCAGGCUUUUAGCAAGAGAGGUUAAGUUUGUGGAUCUUGACGUUCAUUACAUGUUACUCUAUUUUAAUAUUUUAUCUGCUUUUUACCAUGUAUCUUGUUUAUUAUUGUAAGCCACCCUGAGCCUUUUCUAAUAAACAGGAAAAUUAAUAAAAAAAUAAAAAACAUAGCUUAAACCUUA